ACAAGCGGUGAGUGCUUUGGGGUGGGGUGACUGCGUACCUUUUGUAUAAUGGGUCAGCGACUUAUAUUCUGUAGCAAGGUUAACCGUAUAGGGGAGCCGAAGGGAAACCGAGUCUUAACUGGGCGUUAAGUUGCAGGGUAUAGACCCGAAACCCGGUGAUCUAGCCAUGGGCAGGUUGAAGGUUGGGUAACACUAACUGGAGGACCGAACCGACUAAUGUUGAAAAAUUAGCGGAUGACUUGUGGCUGGGGGUGAAAGGCCAAUCAAACCGGGAGAUAGCUGGUUCUCCCCGAAAGCUAUUUAGGUAGCGCCUCGUGAACUCAUCUUCGGGGGUAGAGCACUGUUUCGGCUAGGGGGUCAUCCCGACUUACCAACCCGAUGCAAACUGCGAAUACCGAAGAAUGUUAUCACGGGAGACACACGGCGGGUGCUAACGUCCGUCGUGAAGAGGGAAACAACCCAGACCGCCAGCUAAGGUCCCAAAGUCACAGUUAAGUGGGAAACGAUGUGGGAAGGCUCAGACAGCCAGGAUGUUGGCUUAGAAGCAGCCAUCAUUUAAAGAAAGCGUAAUAGCUCACUGGUCGAGUCGGCCUGCGCGGAAGAUGUAACGGGGCUAAACUGUGCACCGAAGCUGCGGCAGCGACGCUUAUGCGUUGUUGGGUAGGGGAGCGUUCUGUAAGCCUGCGAAGGUGUCCUGUGAGGGAUGCUGGAGGUAUCAGAAGUGCGAAUGCUGACAUAAGUAACGAUAAUGCGGGUGAAAAGCCCGCUCGCCGGAAGACCAAGGGUUCCUGUCCAACGUUAAUCGGGGCAGGGUGAGUCGACCCCUAAGGCGAGGCCGAAAGGCGUAGUCGAUGGGAAACGGGUUAAUAUUCCCGUACUUGGUGUUACUGCGAAGGGGGGACGGAGAAGGCUAUGUUGGCCGGGCGACGGUUGUCCCGGUUUAAGCGUGUAGGCUGGUUUUCCAGGCAAAUCCGGAAAAUCAAGGCUGAGGCGUGAUGACGAGGCACUACGGUGCUGAAGCAACAAAUGCCCUGCUUCCAGGAAAAGCCUCUAAGCAUCAGGUAACAUCAAAUCGUACCCCAAACCGACACAGGUGGUCAGGUAGAGAAUACCAAGGCGCUUGAGAGAACUCGGGUGAAGGAACUAGGCAAAAUGGUGCCGUAACUUCGGGAGAAGGCACGCUGACACGUAGGUGAAGUGAUUUACUCA
rnacentral:rRNA from 1 species